CUUCGAUAUAGAACAUUUCUCAUCUCGUAGAAGAAGAAUGAGUACCACAUAUUGAUUCUACAAAGCUCUUCCAGGAAAUUUCACUCAGAUUUUAUUGGCCAGAGCAGGUUACAAGAGCAUGCCUAACAACAGGUUUCCUGCCAAGGAAAGAGAUAUUCACCCAUUGUAAACCAUUAAAUGAAUUCUCUACUACGAGUGAGCACCUUGAGAGCUGGACAAGACAAGGACAAACAGUUUGAGUGACAUGCACCUGCCCCACAGAAAGACGGAGUGUCAAGUACG
rnacentral:lncRNA from 1 species